rnacentral:rRNA from 1 species
UACGGGGGGGGCAAGCGUUGCUCGGAAUUACUGGGCGUAAAGGGCUCGUAGGCGGCCAACUAAGUCAUACGUGAAAUCCCUCAGCUUAACUGGGGAACUGCGUGUGAUACUGGAUGGCUUGGAUUUGGGAGAGGGAUGCGGAAUUCCAGGUGUAGCGGUGAAAUGCGUAGAUAUUGGGAGGAACACCAGUGGCGAAGGCGGCUCGCUGGACCGGUACUGACGCUGAGGCGCGAAAGCGUGGGGAGCAAACGGG